rnacentral:rRNA from 1 species
UCAGGCCUAACACAUGCAAGUCGAGGGGUAGAAGGAGCUUGCUCCUUUGAGACAGGCGCACGGGUGCGUAACGCGUAUGCAAUCUACCUUUUACAGAGGGAUAGCCCAGAGAAAUUUGGAUUAAUACCUCAUAGUAUAUAACCUUCGCAUGUUGGUUAUAUUAAAGUUCCAACGGUAAAAGAUGAGCAUGCGUCCUAUUAGCUAGUUGGUGUGGUAACGGCACACCAAGGCAACGAUAGAUAGGGGUCCUGAGAGGGAGAUCCCCCACACUGGUACUGAGACACGGACCAGACUCCUACGGGAGGCAGCAGUGAGGAAUAUUGGACAAUGGGCGCAAGCC